rnacentral:rRNA from 1 species
UACGGAGGGUGCAAGCGUUAUCCGGAUUCACUGGGUUUAAAGGGUGCGUAGGUGGGUCUGUAAGUCAGUGGUGAAAUCCCCGAGCUUAACUUGGGAACUGCCGUUGAUACUAUAGAUCUUGAAUAUCGUGGAGGUAAGCGGAAUAAUGUCAUGUAGCGGUGAAAUGCUUAGAUAUGACAUAGAACACCAAUUGCGAAGGCAGCUUACUACACGAUCAUUGACACUGAGGCACGAAAGCGUGGGGGAGC